UAAGGGGAUCCCUAGUAGCGGCGAGCGAAGCGGGAAGAGCUCAAAUUUAUAAUCUGGCACCUUCGGUGUCCGAGUUGUAAUCUCUAGAAGUGUUUUCCGCGUUGGACCGCACACAAGUCUGUUGGAAUACAGCGGCAUAGUGGUGAGACCCCCGUAUAUGGUGCGGACGCCCAACGCUUUGUGAUACACUUUCGAAGAGUCGAGUUGUUUGGGAAUGCAGCUCAAAUUGGGUGGUAAAUUCCAUCUAAAGCUAAAUAUUGGCGAGAGACCGAUAGCGAACAAGUACCGUGAGGGAAAGAUGAAAAGCACUUUGGAAAGAGAGUUAACAGUACGUGAAAUUGUUGGAAGGGAAACGCUUGAAGUCAGACUUGCUUGCCGAGCAAUCGGUUUGCAGGCCAGCAUCAGUUUUCCGGGGUGGAUAAUGGUAGAGAGAAGGUAGCAGUUUCGGCUGUGUUAUAGCUCUCUGCUGGAUACACCUUGGGGGACUGAGGAACGCAGUGUGCCUUACGGCGGAUUUCUCGAGAUCUUCACACUUAGGAUGCUGGUGGAAUGGCUUUAAACGACCCGUCUUGAAACCACGGGACCA
rnacentral:rRNA from 1 species